AAAAUCUUUUAUAUCAUUUAUGGGAUCAAACAUAUGAUUGUCUGAAAACAUCACUUUUUGUGGAUUUGUGUAUCCGGUCACCAAACGGUGAAUAUUAUAGAAGAAUGGGGGAAGAAAGGAUAGAAUAUUAAAACUGCUUUGCAUGGGUUUUCUGGGAAAUUAGGAUAACUUCACUGAGAAGACAUUGAAUGGAAAUUAUUCACCCAUUUUAAAUUGGUGACCUAGGGAUCAGAGAUUUGUCUUUCCAACAGCUUGUCAUUUUUUCAUUUCUCUUCUCAUUUUUCAGGAAAGUUUUGAGUGUUAUAAGGUGGAAGGAAACAUAGUAGCAAUGGAUACUUUUUUGAAAAAUUAUUGCAUUACCAAGAAACAGUAGCCAAAGAUAUUUGAAGAUCAUGUUCCUCGGCUCCAUUGUGGGUUAUUCUAGAAAUCCAGUCUUAAAUCUCUCCGCUAAAGUGGACAUUCCCCAUAAAAAUUGUCCAGCUGCCUGGCUCUUUUGCAAUAACAACCUUUGAUUACUGAAUCCCUACACUCAAACUAUAGUGAUAUAUCAGUGUUUGAGAGUGACCUCUAGAAAAAAGAAAAGUGUUUUUAGAAAUGCGUACAAGUCACCCCCAAAUCCUAUUGCUUAUCUUGGGUUAAAUUUGAGAGUGAUUCUCUGUAUAUAAAUAUGUGAAAUAUUAUUAUCUCAACUUAGCACACGUGAAGCAACAUUUCUUUCCUACAGAGAGGUGUCAUGGUAAGAUUUCAUUCCGAAUUCAUUGUUUCAUAGAGCUAUGAUCAGGCCAUUUCUGCAAGCAAUGUAUGACCCCACCUGAGCAACCACAAAUAGGCUCUCUGUGAAACUACAAAGGAAGUUAUGUGUGGCAUCCAUGUUGGUUUCGUCUGUCUGUAAUGUGAAUUCCAGUAUUUGUUUAGUAUUUCCAGUUGUCUCCUGCUAGCAAUAUGUACAGUAACGCGUCAGGCUUGUGACAUUUGAAUAAGGAAAAACAGAGUUCCUGUUAAGUGAAUAACUUUAGCUUUUACAGGGGAUUAUGAUCAAAAGUGAUUUUAGUACAUCUUAAAUGAUAUCUUAUUUCUACAUGGAAAGAAGUUAUAGAAUCUUCAUAGAGUUCUAUGAGAAAAAAUAUACUUGCUAUCUAUAAAAAAGAGAAAAAAGAAAAAAAAUGAGAAAAAAGUAAGAAAAAAAAAAAUCCUGUCCUAGGCUUUUACUCUUGAUCUUCAAAGGCACGCAGGGUUUAAUGGUUCCUUGGGUUAUUAUUUUGCAGUUUUGUUUUUUAUUUUGCCUUAAGUAAUGAUAGAAGAUAUAUAUGGCCGGACACAUAUGUAUAAACUUUUCAGCAGCAUUUUUAAUAAUAAAA
rnacentral:lncRNA from 1 species